ACCUGAUCCAGCCAUGCCGCGUGUGUGAAGAAGGCCUUUUGGUUGUAAAGCACUUUAAGCAGUGAAGAAGACUCUUCGGUUAAUACCCGGGGACGAUGACAUUAGCUGCAGAAUAAGCACCGGCUAACUCUGUGCCAGCAGCCGCGGUAAUACAGAGGGUGCAAGCGUUAAUCGGAAUUACUGGGCGUAAAGCGAGCGUAGGUGGCUUGAUAAGUCAGAUGUGAAAUCCCCGGGCUUAACCUGGGAACUGCAUCUGAAACUGUUAGGCUAGAGUAGGUGAGAGGGAAGUAGAAUUYCAGGUGUAGCGGUGAAAUGCGUAGAGAUCUGRAGGAAUACCGAUGGCGAAGGCAGCUUCCUGGCAUCAUACUGACACUGAGGCUCGAAAGCGUGGGUAGCAAACAGGAUUAGAUACCCUGGUAGUCCACGCCGUAAACGAUGUCUACUAGUCGUUGGGUCCCUUGAGGACUUAGUGACGCAGCUAACGCAAUAAGUAGACCGCCUGGGGAGUACGGCCGCAAGGUUAAAACUCA
rnacentral:rRNA from 1 species